rnacentral:misc_RNA from 1 species
AAGUCGUAACAAGGUUUCCGUAGGUGAACCUGCGGAAGGAUCAUUAACACGUAUCCAAACGUUAAACCCCCCUGUGAACCUUCAGUCGUACUCGUACGUCCGUUAGAAAAAGCAGCAAUCCCUGGUAAAUCAUCGCCGAACAGUUUUCGAUUCAGGGACGUCUGCAAGGAGCGUGCAUGUUGUGCGUGUAAGUGGCCUGGCAUCCCCAAGCAGUUAGUGUCUGAAAGUGUCACUAACGUUAGUGUCUGAAAGUGUCACUAACAUGUGUAAGGAUGACGCAGUCACGAUCGUUGGAUCACUGGGUGCAAGCCCCCUUAUCACACCCCUGCUCUAUCUAUGGUGAUCCUGCGGGAAGUCCUGCGGUCGAACGCCGAAACCGAACAACUGUUAACAAUGGAUAUCUUGGUUCUC